GACAGAGGCCUCGAGCGUUAGGCGGAAUCACUGGGCUUAAAGCGUGUGUAGGCGGAUCGUUAAGUACCUUGUGAAAGCCCCCGGCUCAACCGGGGAACUGCGCUUGAAACUGCUGAGCUCGAGUCAGCUAGAGGUACACGGAACUUCCAGUGGAGCGGUGAAAUGUGUUGAUAUCUACAGGAACUCCGGUGGCGAAAGCGGCGCGCUGGACCUCUUCUGACGCUGAGGCGCGAAAGCUAGGGGAGCAAACGGG
rnacentral:rRNA from 1 species